ACAUGUGGCUGCAGCUGUUAACAGUGUAAGCUCUACAAGCCGCACUGUUGCAGAAGUAAAAAAGAAAUGGUCGGACUUGAAAGUAGAUGCAAAGAAACGGAUUUCUUUGCACAGGAAGAGUGCAAGUGCUACUGGUGGGGGAAAGGCCACACUUUCUCCGUCUCCUUUUCAUGAGAGGAUGGCAUGUUUAAUUGGGGAACCCCUGUUAAGUGGCGUGGUGACUGAAAAGGAGGGCGAUACAGACUUGGCUGAUGAACCCAUCACUGGUGAACCAGAGAGGACUGUGGGAGUGGACAGCAGUCAUUCAGCUGAAGACUGCCAACCCGGCCCCAACGGUGUCUCCGGUGCCCCGGUUGCCUCCAGCGGUGUCUCCGGUGCCCCGGAUGCCUCCAGCGGUGCACCACGUGCUUUAAGCGGAGGUCGUGUUCUGACUGAGGCUGUUUUACAAACACAAAUAAACACAAUUACAGCAAUUGACAAUUUAACAAAUGAGCUUAAAGAGAUUAAGGGGAUACUGUCUGAAAUGUCAAGUACAUUAAAAGAACUUGUUAAAAAAUA